rnacentral:rRNA from 1 species
UGGCGGACGGGUGAGUAACGCGUGGGUAACCUGCCCUGUACAGGGGGACAACAGCUGGAAACGGCUGCUAAUACCGCAUAAGCCUGCAGUACCGCAUGGCACAGCAGGGAAAACUCCGGUGGUACAGGAUGGGCCCGCGUCUGAUUAGUUAGUUGGCGGGGUAACGGCCCACCAAGACGACGAUCAGUAGCCGGCUUGAGAGAGUGGACGGCCACAUUGGGACUGAGACACGGCCCAAACUCCUACGGGAGGCAGCAG